rnacentral:ncRNA from 1 species
UACUUUUGUUAGAAGGGAGUGGGGCAGAAAUAAUAUUUUCCAAAAUUUAUUUUACCCCAGCCUGCUUUGCUUGUAGAUUUUCUUGUUGAAAAUCUCUUUGCUGGGGCCCCGCACCCCAGCUUGCUUUGCUUGUGGAUUUUCUUGUUGAAAAUCUCUUUGCUGGGGCCCCGCACCCCAACUUGCUUAGCUCGUGGAAUUUCUUUAAGAAAUUCUCUUUGUUGGGGCCCCGCACUCAACUACGAUUCAUUAUCUAUAU